rnacentral:lncRNA from 1 species
AUCUGGAGCUGCUGCCCAGGCUGAUGCUGAGGGCAUCUCUUGGUGACCAGACACUGCAGAUCAAGGGCAGCACAACUGAGCCUGACUUCAGAUUCCAGAACUGGUGCUCGUGGGGUACAAGGGGAGGAGAAACGAUUCCUGCUCUGGGGCAGUGUCUUUCAGAGCUGGCGUAGAGCCUCCAUCCAACAAUCUCCUGGGCCAGGUGAAGAGACUGGGUGUGGAGAGGCCUUGCUUGGGCUGCAGCAGUGUGCACUCACCUCCCCAGCAGAACACACACUGAGGGCCGAAGCUCCUCCUCCUGCGGCACGGAGUCCCCGUCUGUGUGCCGGUUUCCUGGAGACUCUGCCCUGCUACUUGGACCCAGAGGAAGGCAGAAGUUUGGACGUGCUGAAAAUGCUGAGUGUCAGUGCAGAGGUGGGAUGUGCGAGGGCCAUGAUUUACCUCCACAGCCACAACGUGCCAGUAGCAUUUUUUCUAUAAAUGCAAAUGUUUUAGAUAGUAGUAUUCAAAUUAUUUGAAACAGGACUAUCUUUUUAAAAAAUAGUAUCCCUUUAAAAA